GAGCGGCGAGAGUUCCACAGCCCGAUGGAACGUCCGCUUCUGCCCGCCUCCGGAAGCGCGAGCGAACGAGCGUACCACGCGUGUACGUGGAUCACCGCGGAUUCUCGCUGCUGUGCCGCCGCCAACCGGACGCAUUCGUUGGAUUCUGUCGACCGGUCAUCGAGUUCCCGAGUCGUUUUGUUCGAAGCAGCUGAACCCGGUUACGAUCGGUUUUAGAUUAGGGAGAAGCUUAGAAUUUCCAGAGCAAUUUCAAGGUUUGGAAUGCUUUCGCAUUGGGAUAGGGAAACUUGGGACUGAUGACAAUUCGGAUUCGAGGGCGGAAUAGAAGAAGAUUAAAGGAUACGGUCAGCUUAGAAAAUCCUGCACGCGCAAUGCGGAUUUCGAUCGCCAUGCUGGUCGAAAUGGCGAAACUCGACCGGGACUCGACCCAGAUCCUGUGCCCGAAAACAGAAGUACAAUCAGCAGCGAGUAACGGGGAGUUGAAACGGCGGUACUCGAAAAUUCAACGCGCUGCAGGCAUUCGAAACGAGCCAUAUGGGUAAAUCGAGCCACCAACGGCAGCUUUCCAUUGUGUGCAAUACGACAACAAUAUAAUAAAAAUAAUUUCCCGGAGGCAGAAACGUCGCCAGGGUAUUAGCGAGCUAAUGAAACGUGAGUUGGAGCGUAGCCUCUGGUGUCGCGUUUCCGGAAGACGGGAGGGGACGACUACCUUUCGGACGGAAGCCCGGGGAACGUGGUUACGAAAGCAAAGGGGACGAAGCAGAGAAAGAACACGAAUAAAAGAAAGACAGAAAAGAGAAACCCGAUCAAUUUAUUUAUUAAACGUUUUUCAUGCCUUUGUCGUAGCCUGUCGAGUUCCCACGGGAAAUACGAGGCGCUUAAAAGAGUGCUCCCGAGUUUGGCGAAUCUUGUGCGGGAGGGAAUCGCCACGAACCGACAGGAUGCCGGCAGAUCAACCAAAGAUACCUACCCCUAAUGGAAUCACGACCGACCUACCCGAAUUUGAGAAGAAACCAACAUAUCUCGCGAGAUUCAUGGGAUUUUUGUUCCGUGUGUGCACGAUCAACUCGAUUGUCUCGAAUUACAUACAAUGACUACAGCAAAUACUGUCACACAUCCUUAAUUGCCAACCAAGCGUUUAUUUCGAAGGUUCUACGUUUAAUUUUUCAAUUUUAGAGAAUCGAUUUGAUUUUGAGUAGUUUCGAGGAAAUUGUUCGUUUGUGGGUAAAGUUCAGAGAAGGAAGGAAGUUUCCAAAAGUUUCAAAUUGGGAGGUAAUAUGGAUGUAGGACUAUAAAAAAUUAGUUACUCAAGAUAUUCCUCGAAAGUGAAACUAAACAGGAAUAUUUCAUUCGAUUACUCGAGCGGGGUAGGUAGAAAUCACAACGACGCUUAACGACCACAAAUCGAAACGAGGCAAUGUCGUAACGCGUUUUCGUGCUUUUAGUGUCGAAAAACGGUCCCGUUCGAACGAAAAUAAUCUUAUUACCCAUAAAAACAACGUUUGAAGCGAUCGUAAAGAACAAGACGGUAGCCGUAAAAAUAAAAAAAAUAAAAAAGAAAAUGGGAAGACGACGAAGAAAACAAGAAGGGAGUCUACUCUAGGCGGAGGAUGCUAUCUCUUCCGCCCUUACAUAACGCAAGGAUUCUAAAGGACGAGAUUCGAGACGAACCUGCGUCUCCUUUCGAAUUUACGACCAGAGCGACUUUUAUGCCACAGAUUUGUCCUACAACUUAUCGAUUCCAUUAAGCACUAUUAGCAAGCCGAAGCAACUUGGCAUCGAGAAGCGGACCUCGAGCGGUCGACAGGCCCUCGACAUCGCUUACCUGUUCGUCCGGUUCGCCUCGAGUGGAUUCAUUUGUUUUAGGAACGACGAGGACGACGGAGAUUCGGGCGUUGAGAUAAAGGAGUCGAUUCGAAGGCCUUCAGGAUCUAUCUUCGAAUAUUUCGAAUUUGUUUUCCAUGAAAGAUGACUCUGCUCUUUCAUCUUAUACGACACAGUCGAUUUCAUUCGACUUAUCGUUUGGAAGAUAAUAGACGUUCGUCAGAGACGAAAUAUGCGCAGAAUACGUUUUCGUUGAAUAUCUUCUCGAUGAUGCAAAGUUUAACUUUAUAAUUUAACCAGUUAGUCGUUUUAAUUAUUAUACCAAAUUCUACUUCUUUUCAUUCUUUUUUGUUACAUUUAGAUAAUAGGUAGAGAUAGAAAUAAUAAAUGAAGAUGAAGAUAAUAAGCGAAGAUAGAGACAAUAAGUGGAGAUCAGUUUGUCUUGUGACUUAGACAUUUCAUUAUUCUGAAAUGCUUGUUAGAACACGCUUUUGGUCUGUAGAACGCAUUCAUUUUAACCACAGCCUUAGUCACAAAUAUCGCAGCAAAUUAGUCAAACUCAACAAUUCACGUUUCAUAACCGAGGUCUAAUACACUUUGAAUAAUAAAA